UGGGGACCACGGAUGGUGCCACCAAAGCCCUGGAGAUGCUCCCAGCGCCACGUCCCCUCCCCUGGUGCCCCGGGGACAAGGCCAAGGUCCUCUCCUGGUGCCACCACGUGUCACCCGCGUGUCCUGUCCCCACCCCCAUGGUGUCCCCAAGGCCUCGGGGACAAGGCCAGGUCCCUCGGUGGCCACCCAUGUCCAGCGUGUCACCGUGUCACCUCAGGGCCACCGACCCGGUGGCUCCUCCCCCCAGGAGAUGCCACCACCCCCUGGUCCUCAGGGUGGGUGAGAAGGUCCCCAACCCCCUGGAGAUCCCUCAGGGACAUUUUGGGGACAUUUUGGGGACAUCUUUGGGGACAUCUUUGGCCACCUCUGCUCCAGCUCGUCCCGUUCCCUCCGGACCUUCUCCAAGCGGCUCUGACUCUCCUGGAGCUCCCCCAGCAGAGAGGUCACCUGGGCCACCACCGAGGCCUUGUCCUGCUGCGUGGGGACAUCCCCCCCCAAAUGUCACCUCCCCCCCAGUGUCACCUCCCCCCCCUUGGCCAAGGGGGACCAGGAGACACCCCCCAAGGUGGCCCCACAGCGUCCCCAGAUGCCACCACCCCCCCAAAGGACCAAGAACCCACCUCAAUGUCCUUGAGGUGGCCCCAAGGUCUCCCCAAAGUGUCCCCAGAUGCCACCACCCCCCCCCAUGGUGUCCCCUGGGUGUCCCCAAAGGGCCAAGAACCCACCCUGGUGGCCCCAAAGUGUCCCCAGAUGCCACCAGCCCCCCAUGGUGUCCUCCAGGUGUCCCCAAGGUGUCCAGGAGCCACCCCAUGAUGUCCCCAAAGGACCAAGAACCCACCCCAACGUCCUCAAGGUGUCCCCAGAUACCACCCCAAUGUCCCCAAAGCGUCCCCAGAUGCCACCACCCCCCCAAUGGACCAAGAACCCACCCCAAUGUCCCCGAGGUGGCCCCAAAGUGUCCCCAGAUGCCACCACCCCCCCAACGAUGUCCUCCAGGUGUCCCCAAGGUGUCCAGGAACCACCCCAAUGUCCCCAAGGUGUCCCCAAGGGCCAUCUUGGUGUCCCCCAAAGCAUCCCCAGAUGCCACCACC
rnacentral:lncRNA from 1 species